CUUGUACUCAAUCCAAGAUAACCAUCACUGGACAUCCAUUCCUGAUAACAGCAAAGCCUUUUUUUAGAUUGCUUAGAUUGGUUAUUCUGAUUUGGAAGCCAGAAGCCAAAUUUACUGAUACAGGAACCCAAAGAGGGGGAUCACUAAAGACUAAAACUAAAGAGGAUUGCAGAGUUCUACUUAUAGUUUUCUUCUGAAAUAAGGAAAAUUGUUGCAACUACUACUUUCUUCAUGAUCAUCUGAUUCAUUUGAUGAAACUUCUGUGAUUCCACUUGACCCUGAGAAUGAGGAGGAA
rnacentral:misc_RNA from 1 species